AUUGAACGCUGGCGGAAUGCUUUACACAUGCAAGUCGAGCGGCAGCACGGGGGCGACCCUGGUGGCGAGCGGCGAACGGGUGAGUAAUACAUCGGAACAUGCACAGUCGUGGGGGAUAACACUUCGAAAGAAGUGCUAAUACCGCAUACGUCCUGAGGGAGAAAGCGGGGGCUCUGCGGACCUCGCGCGAUUGGAGUGGCCGAUGUCAGAUUAGCUAGUUGGUGGGGUAAAGGCCUACCAAGGCAACGGGUUGUAGCUGGUCUGAGAGGAGGAUCAGCCACACUGGGACUGAGACACGGCCCAGACUCCUACGGGAGGCAGCAGUGGGGAAUUUUGGACAAUGGGGGCAACCCUGAUCCAGCCAUUCCGCGUGAGUGAAGAAGGCCUUCGGGUUGUAAAGCUCUUUCGGCAGGAACGAAACGGCGAGCUCUAACAUAGCUUGCUAAUGACGGUACCUGAAGAAGAAGCACCGGCUAACUACGUGCCAGCCGCCGCAGUAAGAC
rnacentral:rRNA from 1 species